GCAAAAAUCUCCAGUUGAACUUGAAUAUUGGCAGCGUAAAAAUGCUGAUCGUCCGAUUUGGAAUUUUGUUGAGUAUCCUCGGCCUUGUGGCUGCGAACUGUCAACGAAAUGGAGAAACUUGUCAUAUGCAUACGGAUUGUUGCUCAGGACAGUGCCUAACAUACCUAUCCCAUUGUGCAGCUUGUCCAAAUUGCCAUUUGCCUAUGCAACUGGGAUAAGCCCCACAAACAUGCUCGAUCACAAUUAAACAAGAUGUAUAUUAAACAGUUAAUAAAAUUAUUGAAUUAUCCUGCUAAA